GUGGAUCCAGAAUUGGCCUCCACAGUCACUUACGGACUCAUUGUUAAAACUGUGUUUAUGGAAGACAACUUUACUUGGCUACGAGUGAUCGCCAAAGAAGCAGCUACUUGCAAGGCAGCCCCGAGUUCACCCACUCCUCAUGGGACUCAUAAUGUGACUUAGCAACAAAAGUUACAGAUGCUGAAGUAAUGGCUGUGCUCUAGAACCCUACAUAUGCACCUGACUGUGCUUGAUAAGGAGAUCAGUGAGCUUAUUGAAUGCUUCUACUAUUCAUGGAACAUCUUUGCUUAUUCAGGACUGUAUCAGUGACUGUCACCCAUCUUUAAAACAUCCUGCCACAACUUUAGCCGCCAGCACAAGUAUCACUGGUUUAGUUGCUACCAAGGUAGUUGAAAUCAGACUGAUACCUAUGAAAAUGGUAACAUCAACACAACAGGAAACGAUUGAGAGGUUGUACAAACCAACCACAGAAGCUUAAGUCAAAGUGAAAACGUGUAUUGGUAAUAGUUUCAGGGCUUGAUUACCCAGCAAUUUGUUCCAAGGAUAUUUGAGACUCUCAAAUGAGAGUUGGCCAAGGCAAAAUAUAAGAUUAUGAGCAAGAAGACAUCAAAUGCUCUAGCCUCAA